rnacentral:rRNA from 1 species
CAGCAGCCACGGGAAUACGUAGGUGGCAAGCGUUAUCCGGAAUUAUUGGGCGUAAAGCGCGCGUAGGCGGUUUUUUAAGUCUGAUGUGAAAGCCCACGGCUCAACCGUGGAGGGUCAUUGGAAACUGGAAAACUUGAGUGCAGAAGAGGAAAGUGGAAUUCCAUGUGUAGCGGUGAAAUGCGCAGAGAUAUGGAGGAACACCAGUGGCGAAGGCGACUUUCUGGUCUGUAACUGACGCUGAUGUGCGAAAGCGUGGGGAUCAAACAGGAUUAGAGACCCCAGUAGUCCCUGUCUCUUAUAC